AUGUUCACAUAUGUGGCUGCUAUUUAUCUUGUUAUGUGUGGCUGCAUAUUGCAAAGUUGUGUGGCUAGCAUAUACAAAUGCAUAUCUAUCUUCUAUCAUCAAUUCUGCAGGUUUGUUGCCUUCCGGUUUGGAUGCAUCAUGACAAAAUGUAGCGACCAGACCUCAAAUGGCCUGUGCUGCUGUGCACCAGUGUCAUCCCUGGAUCAGUAA
rnacentral:rRNA from 1 species